UACAUUUCUGGCUUAUUUCCUGUUUUUGAGUGGCCUCUGGACCUGGCGUUACUUCUCUGGACACCAGCAUUAUCUGUCCCCAUCUGUGUCCUGGUCAGGAAGUACCUGAUUUUGACUGUCUGAAGUCACUCUUCCUGGGGACCUGACUUUCCUGACUCCUCUGUUCCAGCUUCAGUCCCUCUGCUUCACUGGAAAGAGCUUAAAGCAGUCUUUAAAGAUGUGCGUGUCAAGGAGAGAG
rnacentral:lncRNA from 1 species